rnacentral:rRNA from 1 species
CUAACACAUGCAAGUCGAACGCACCUUUCGGGGUGAGUGGCGGACGGGUGAGUAACGCGUGAGAAUCUGCCUUUUGGUCGGGGACAACCACUGGAAACGGUGGCUAAUACCGGAUGUGCCUAUGGGUAAAAGAUUUAUUGCCAAAAGAAGAGCUCGCGUCUGAUUAGCUAGUUGGUAGGGUAAAAGCCUACCAAGGCAUCGAUCAGUAGCUGGUCUGAGAGGAUGACCAGCCACACUGGGACUGAGACACGGCCCAGACUCCUACGGGAGGCAGCAGUGGGGAAUUUUCCGCAAUGGGCGAAAGCCAGACGGAGCAAUACCGCGUGAGGGAGGAAGGCUCUUGGGUUGUAAACUUCUUUUAUGAGGGAAGAAAUGC